GUCUACGGCCAUGCCACCCUGAACAAGCCCGAUCCUGUCUGACCUUGGAAGCUAAGCAGUGUCGGGUCUGGUUAGUACUUGGAUGGGAGAUCACCUAGGAAGACCAGGUGCUGUAGGCG
rnacentral:rRNA from 1 species